AUAUUUCUAGACUACAUGAGGGAAAUCUGACCAAGAAGGAGAGUGAUGGAGUGCUGCAUCAGAUGACCUGGCCUCCACAGUCACCUGAUCUAAACCUAAUCAAU